rnacentral:rRNA from 1 species
UGAGCUUGAUCCUGGCUCAGGACGAACGCUGGCGGCGUGCCUAAUACAUGCAAGUCGAGCGGACUUCUUAAAAGCUUGCUUUUAAGAAGUCAGCGGCGGACGGGUGAGUAACACGUGGGCAACCUGCCUGUAAGACUGGGAUAACUUCGGGAAACCGGAGCUAAUACCGGAUAAUAUAAAGAACCUCCUGGUUCUUUAUUGAAAGAUGGUUUCGGCUAUCACUUACAGAUGGGCCCGCGGCGCAUUAGCUAGUUGGUGAGGUAAUGGCUCACCAAGGCGACGAUGCGUAGCCGACCUGAGAGGGUGAUCGGCCACACUGGGACUGAGACACGGCCCAGACUCCUACGGGAGGCAGCAGUAGGGAAUCUUCCACAAUGGACGAAAGUCUGAUGGAGCAACGCCGCGUGAGCGAUGAAGGCCUUCGGGUCGUAAAGCUCUGUUGUUAGGGAAGAACAAGUGCGAGAGUAACUGCUCGCACCUUGACGGUACCUAACCAGAAAGCCACGGCUAACUACGUGCCAGCAGCCGCUGUA